rnacentral:rRNA from 1 species
AUUGAACGCUGGCGGCAUGCCUUACACAUGCAAGUCGAACAGCAGCACGGGUGCUUGCACCUGGUGGCGAGUGGCGAACGGGUGAGUAAUACAUCGGAACGUACCUUAUCGUGGGGGAUAACGCAGCGAAAGCUGUGCUAAUACCGCAUACGCCCUGAGGGGGAAAGCGGGGGAUCGCAAGACCUCGCGCGAUUAGAGCGGCCGAUGCCUGAUUAGCUUGUUGGUGGGGUAAAAGCCCACCAAGGCGACGAUCAGUAGCUGGUCUGAGAGGACGAUCAGCCACACUGGGACUAAGACACGGCCCAGACUCCUACGGGAGGCAGCAGUGGGGAAUUUUGGACAAUGGGGGCAACCCUGAUCCAGCAAUGCCGCGUGAGUGAAGAAGGCCUUCGGGUUGUAAAGCUCUUUUGUCAGGGAAGAAACACCGGCUCUAACACAGUCUGGGAAUGACGGUACCUGAAGAAUAAGCACCGGCUAACUACGUGCCAGCAGCCGCGGUAA